AACGUAGGACACAAGCGUUAUCCGGAGUUACUGGGCGUAAAGGGCGUGUAGGCGGACUUGUAAGUCUAUUCUGAAAGCUCCUGGCUAAACUAAGAAAGGCGAAUGGAGACUGCAAAUCUAGAGUGAGGAAGAGGAAAGUGGAAUUCCGGGUGUAGUGGUGAAAUGCGUAGAGAUCCGGAGGAACACCAGUGGCGAAGGCGACACGCUGGGCCGUACCUGACACUGAUGCGCGACAGCAUGGGGAGCAAACAGG
rnacentral:rRNA from 1 species